AGUGAACGCUGGCGGUAGGCCUAACACAUGCAAGUCGAACGGCAGCACAGUAAGAGCUUGCUCUUACGGGUGGCGAGUGGCGGACGGGUGAGGAAUACAUCGGAAUCUACUUUUUCGUGGGGGAUAACGUAGGGAAACUUACGCUAAUACCGCAUACGGCCUACGGGUGAAAGCAGGGGAUCUUCGGACCUUGCGCGAUUGAAUGAGCCGAUGUCGGAUUAGCUAGUUGGCGGGGUAAAGGCCCACCAAGGCGACGAUCCGUAGCUGGUCUGAGAGGAUGAUCAGCCACACUGGAACUGAGACACGGUCCAGACUCCUACGGGAGGCAGCAGUGGGGAAUAUUGGACAAUGGGCGCAAGCCUGAUCCAGCCAUACCGCGUGGGUGAAGAAGGCCUUCGGGUUGUAAAGCCCUUUUGUUGGGAAAGAAAAGCAGCAGGUUAAUACCCCGCUGUUCUGACGGUACCCAAGGAAUAAGCACCGGCUAACUUCGUG
rnacentral:rRNA from 1 species